rnacentral:rRNA from 1 species
GUGCCAGCAGCCGCGGUAAUACGGAGGGUGCGAGCGUUGUUCGGAAUCACUGGGCGUAAAGCGCGUGUAGGCGGCCCAUUAAGUCUGAUGUGAAAGCCCGGGGCUCACCCCCGGAAGUGCAUUGGAAACUGAUGGGCUGGAGUCCCGGAGAGGAAGGUGGAAUUCCUGGUGUAGCGGUGAAAUGCGUAGAUAUCAGGAGGAACACCGGUGGCGAAGGCGGCCUUCUGGACGGUGACUGACGCUGAGACGCGAAAGCGUGGGGAGCAAACAGGAUUAGAUACCCUCGUAGUCC